UGGGGAAUAUUGGACAAUGGGCGCAAGCCUGAUCCAGCAAUGCCGCGUGUGUGAAGAAGGCCUGCGGGUUGUAAAGCACUUUAAGCAGGAAAGAAAGGCAAACUGAUAAUACCAGUUUGCAUUGACGUUACCUGAAGAAUAAGCACCGGCUAACUCCGUGCCAGCAGCCGCGGUAAUACGGAGGGUGCAAGCGUUAAUCGGAAUUACUGGGCGUAAAGCGCACGUAGGUGGUUUGUUAAGUCUUCUGUGAAAGCCCUGGGCUUAACCUGGGAACGGCAGGAGAAACUGGUAAGCUAGAGUGUCGGAGAGGGUAGUGGAAUUUCCGGUGUAGCAGUGAAAUGCGUAGAGAUCGGAAGGAACACCAGUGGCGAAGGCGGCUACCUGGACGAACACUGACACU
rnacentral:rRNA from 1 species